GAUGAACGCUGGCGGCGUGCCUAAUACAUGCAAGUCGAGCGAACAGACGAGGAGCUUGCUCCUCUGACGUUAGCGGCGGACGGGUGAGUAACACGUGGAUAACCUACCUAUAAGACUGGGAUAACUUCGGGAAACCGGAGCUAAUACCGGAUAAUAUAUUGAACCGCAUGGUUCAAUAGUGAAAGACGGUUUUGCUGUCACUUAUAGAUGGAUCCGCGCCGCAUUAGCUAGUUGGUAAGGUAACGGCUUACCAAGGCAACGAUGCGUAGCCGACCUGAGAGGGUGAUCGGCCACACUGGAAGUGAGACACGGUCCAGACUUCUACGGGGGGCAGCAGUAGGGAAUCUUCCGCAGUGGGCGAGAGCCUGACGGAGCAACGCCGCGUGAGUGAUGAAGGUCUUCGGAUCGUAAAACUCUGUUAUUAGGGAAGAACAAAUGUGUAAGUAACUAUGCACGUCUUGACUGUACCUAAUCAGAACGCCACGGCUAACUACG
rnacentral:rRNA from 1 species